rnacentral:siRNA from 1 species
GACCCGUAGGAUGGGACGGGAUGC